rnacentral:piRNA from 1 species
CAUUAACAAUUGGUGGGGCUUAUGUCACAGA